GCGAACGCUGGCGGCAGGCCUAACACAUGCAAGUCGAGCGGGCGUAGCAAUACGUCAGCGGCAGACGGGAGAGUAACACGUGGGAACGCGCCCUUCGGUUCGGAAUAACUCAGGGAAACUUGAGCUAAUACCGAAUACGCCCUAACGGGGAAAGAUUUAUCGCCAUUGGAGCGGCCCGCGUCUGAUUAGCUAGUUGGUGAGGUAAUGGCUCACCAAGGCGACGAUCAGUAGCUGGUCUGAGAGGAUGAUCAGCAUCACUGGGACUGAGACACGGCCCAGACUCCUACGGGAGGCAGCAGUGGGGAAUAUUGGACAAUGGGCGCAAGCCUGAUCCAGCCAUGCCGCGUGGAUGAUGAAGGCCUUAGGGUUGUAAAGUCCUUUUAACGGGGAAGAUAAUGACGGUACCCGUAGAAUAAGCCCCGGCUAACUUCGU
rnacentral:rRNA from 1 species